rnacentral:rRNA from 1 species
AGCAGCCGCGGUAAUUCCAGCUCCAAUAGCGUAUAUUAAAGUUGUUGCAGUUAAAAAGCUCGUAGUUGAAUUUCGGGAUCAAUUAAUUGGUCGUGCCUAUGGUACGUACUGAUUUUAUUGGUUUCUCCCUUCUGACGAACCAUGAUGUCAUUAAUUUGGUGUCGUGGAGAAUCAGGACUGUUACUUUGAAAAAAUUAGAGUGUUUAAAGCAGGCUAACGCUUGAAUACAUUAGCAUGGAAUAAUGAAAUAGGACGUUUGAUCCUAUUUUUGUUGGUUUCUAGGAUCGACGUAAUGAUUAAUAGGGAUAGUUGGGGGGCAUUAGUAUUCAAUUGUCAGAGGUGAAAUUCCUGGAUUUAUUGAAGACUAACUACUGCGAAAGCAUUUGCCAAGGAUGUUUUCAUUAAUCAAGAACGAAAGUUAGGGGAUCGAAGACGAUCAGAUACCGUCGUAGUCUUAACCAUAAACUAUGCCGACUAGGGAUCGGAUGAUGUUAAUUUUUUAAUGACUCAUUCGGCGCCU